rnacentral:rRNA from 1 species
UGGGGAAUUUUGGACAAUGGGGGAAACCCUGAUCCAGCCAUCCCGCGUGUGCGAUGAAGGCCUUCGGGUUGUAAAGCACUUUUGGCAGGAAAGAAACGUCGCGGGUUAAUACCCCGCGAAACUGACGGUACCUGCAGAAUAAGCACCGGCUAACUACGUGCCAGCAGCCGCGGUAAUACGUAGGGUGCAAGCGUUAAUCGGAAUUACUGGGCGUAAAGCGUGCGCAGGCGGUUCGGAAAGAAAGAUGUGAAAUCCCAGAGCUUAACUUUGGAACUGCAUUUUUUAACUACCGGGCUAGAGUGUGUCAGAGGGAGGUGGAAUUCCGCGUGUAGCAGUGAAAUGCGUAGAUAUGCGGAGGAACACCGAUGGCGAAGGCAGCCUCCUGGGAUAACACUGACGCUCAUGCACGAAAGCGUGGGGAGCAAACAGGAUUAGAUACCCUGGUAGUCCACGCCCUAAACGAUGUCAACUAGCUGUUGGGGCCUUCGGGCCUUGGUAGCGCAGCUAACGCGUGAAGUUGACCGCCUGGGGAGUACGGUCGCAAGAUUAAAACUCAAAUGAAUUGACGGGGUCAUAGCUGUUUCCU